rnacentral:rRNA from 1 species
GACGAACGCUGGCGGCGUGCUUAACACAUGCAAGUCGAACGGGAUUUAGUAGACAGAAGCCUCGGCUAAAGAUUACUAAUGAGAGUGGCGAACGGGUGAGUAACGCGUGAGCAACCUGCCUAUGACAGUGGGAUAGCCUCGGGAAACCGGGAUUAAUACCGCAUAAAAUCGUAGAAACACAUGUUUCAACGGUCAAAGAUUUAUCGGUCAUAGAUGGGCUCGCGUCUGAUUAGCUAGUUGGUGAGAUAACAGCCCACCAAGGCGACGAUCAGUAGCCGGUCUGAGAGGAUGACCGGCCACAUUGGAACUGAGACACGGUCCAAACUCCUACGGGAGGCAGCAGUGGGGAAUAUUGCACAAUGGGGGAAACCCUGAUGCAGCGACGCCGCGUGAACGAAGAAGGUAUUCGUAUCGUAAAGUUCUGUCCUAUGGGAAGAUAAUGACAGUACCAUAGAAGAAAGCUCCGGCUAAAUACGUG